UACGGAGGGUCCAAGCGUUAUUCGGAAUUACUGGGCGUAAAGGGCUCGUAGGUGGCCAACUAAGUCAGACGUGAAAUCCCUCGGCUUAACCGGGGAACUGCGUCUGAUACUGGAUGGCUUGAGUUCGGGAGAGGGAUGCGGAAUUCCAGGUGUAGCGGUGAAAUGCGCAGAUAUCAGGAAGAACACCCGUGGCGAAGGCGGCUCUCUGGGACGGUACUGACGCUGAGACGCGAAAGCGUGGGGAGCGAACAGG
rnacentral:rRNA from 1 species